rnacentral:tRNA from 1 species
CAGGAAAUGUGCCUGAACUAAAGGGUUACUUUGAUAGAGUAAAAAUAGGGGUUUGAGCCCCCUCAUCUCCUUACUAGAAAG